rnacentral:misc_RNA from 1 species
UCUGCCUGAGUUCAAAGUCAG